rnacentral:rRNA from 1 species
GUGGGGAAUUUUGCGCAAUGGGGGAAACCCUGACGCAGCAACGCCGCGUGAGUGAUGAAGGCCUUCGGGUCGUAAAGCUCUGUCAGAGGGGAAGAAGUGUGGGGUGGCUAAUAUCCAUUUCACUUGACGGUACCUUCAAAGGAAGCACCGGCUAACUCCGUGCCAGCAGCCGCGGUAAUACGGAGGGUGCGAGCGUUGUUCGGAAUUAUUGGGCGUAAAGCGCGUGUAGGCGGUUUUUUAAGUCUGAUGUGAAAGCCCUGGGCUCAACCCGGGAAGUGCAUUGGAAACUGGGAGACUUGAAUACGGGAGAGGGCAGUGGAAUUCCUGGUGUAGGAGUGAAAUCCGUAGAUAUCAGGAGGAACACCGGUGGCGAAGGCGGCUGCCUGGACCGAUAUUGACGCUGAGACGCGAAAGCGUGGGGAGCAAACAGGAUUAGAUACCCCUGUAGUCC